rnacentral:rRNA from 1 species
GACGAACGCUGGCGGCGUGCCUAAUACAUGCCAGUCGAGCGCUGAAGGUUGGUACUUGUACCAACUGGAUGAGCAGCGAACGGGUGAGUAACGCGUGGGGAAUCUGCCUUUGAGCGGGGGACAACAUCUGGAAACGAAUGCUAAUACCGCAUAAAAACUUUAAACACAAGUUUUAAGUUUGAAAGAUGCAAUUGCAUCACCCAAAAAUUAGCCCCCGUUGUAUUUGCCUGUUUGUUAGGUAAAGGCCCAACAAAGCCAAGAUAGAUAGCCGGCCCUGAAGGGUGGACGGGCCCAUUGGGACCUGAGAACGGCCCAAGCUCCUAAGGGAGGGAGCAGUAGGGGAACUUCGGCAAUGGGCGAAAGGCUGACCGAGCAACGCCGCGGGAGUGAAGGAGGUUUUCGGAUCGUAAAACUCUGUUGGUAGGGAAGGACGUUGGUGAGAGUGGAAAGCUCAUCAAGUGACGGUAACUAACCAGAAAGGGACGGCUAACUACGUG